rnacentral:rRNA from 1 species
ACGCUCGACACCUACGGGAGGCAGCAGUGGGGAAUAUUGCACAAUGGGGGAAACCCUGAUGCAGCGACGCCGCGUGGAGGAAGAAGGUCUUCGGAUUGUAAACUCCUGUUGUUGGGGAAAAAGNGGAUGGUACCCAACAAGGAAGUGACGGCUAACUACGUGCCAACAGCCGCGGUAAUCUGAGCGGGCUGGCAAGGC